ensembl:lincRNA
ACAUUUAGGCUUGACCUUGUACUCUCUGCACUAGGACAUGGAGACCUGGGUAGAGACCUGGCCUGGCCUCUGUCCUGGAAAACUCCGUGCCUGCGUCUGAACGUCAGCACUCAGAUGUCUAGGGUCUGGGGCUGAGGUGGGCUUCUCUGGGGAACCGUGCUCUUCUCUGAGUAGGAUUCCAUGGCUCUCCCGGGAGAGGGGGAGGUCAGUGCUGCGGUAGGGUUUGUAGUCUGUCUCUGUGACAGGUUCAUCUUCCCUGGGGUCCUUGAGACUCCUCAGGUGGGCUGCUAAGUCACUUUAGUCGUGUCCGACUCUGUGCGACCCCAUAGACGGCAGCCUAACAGGCUCCCCCGUCCCUGGGAUUCUCCAGGCAAGAACACUGGAGUGGGUUGCCAUUUCCUUCUCCAAUGCAUGAAAGUGAAAAGUGAAAGUGAUAUUGCUCAGUCGUGACCCCAUAGACUGCAGCCCACCAGGCUCCUCUACCCAUGGGAUUUUCCAGGCAAGAGUACUAGAGUGGGGUGCCAUUGCCUUCUCCGCCUCAGGUGGGCUAACUAGUAUUUAUUCCAAUUUUUCAGCACAUUCAGGUUUAAUAGAAAGGCAGGUUCACCUGGUGAAUUGGUUCCAGGGUGCAGGGAUCAGGCAAAAAGUCAACGGGCAGCAGGUGAGGUUGCUGCUGGGCUCUCCUUCCAGUCGACUCUCUCCUCCAAAGAGGAUGGAGUUGCCCCUCGUUUCUCAGCCCAGCUCUCCUGUUUUCUCAGCACCUCAGCGGGACAAAAAAGACAGAGCCUGCCAGAACCAAGUGGACCGUCCCUACUCAGCAGAGACCAGACCUGCCCGUCGUCUCCCAGCCCUGCGUCUGGUGUGUUUUCUCAACACCUCAGUGGAACAAGAAAGGACCAAGCCUGCCAGAACCAAGACUCAUCCCAACCUGGGGCACUGCUCCCUGCUGAAACACCUAGGAGGCUGCACUCUCAGAAAAGAGGCUUCAGCUAGAGACCCCAGCACCAGCAGACCUGGAGGCCAGGUGACUUUUCAAAAGUUCUCGUGGUCAGAGGCUCAGGCUACCAUUUUCGAUGCACUAGGGUCUAUAGUCCAAGCUAGGGAAAACCAGAUAGUACAGGUUUAAGAAGGGGCUCAAAAUUAAGGAUACCUGGCCCUACUGUGUCAGCCCCUCUCCAGUCCAGUCAUGGGACCCAAGUCUGCUCAGGGUCCAGGUAUGGCAAACAGCACAUGUCGGGGAGAUCAGAGGGAAUAAAAGAAGCAUCACUCUUUUCUGUUCUUUAACCUCAUGCUGAUACAAUGUAGCCCUAUAUUUGAUUUGCAGUUUUGUCCUUAUUGUCAGUAUGCAGGCUCCUUAUUCUGUUAUGCCAUAUACAUACCGCAUAUCUGUUCUUUUUUCAAAUAUUUGCCAGAGAGGUUAUUAAACAAGGUCCAAUAAGCUCCCUGUGCUGAACAUUAUGUCCUUCUGAAGAAUUUAUUCUGACUCUAUGGGACCCCAAGGGCUAAAGCCCACUGGAAUCCUCUUUCCAUGAAGUCUCCAGGCAAGAACAGGCCUCUACGUAGACCCUCAGCUCAUGUGUGACUAUGAGGCAUUGAGGCAGACUUUCAGCUCCUUGUGUCUAUGACACCUCCAGGCAGACACUCAAGUUUGUGUCUCUCUAGAGGCCUCUAAGCAGAUGCUCAGCUCGUGUUUGACUAUAGGGCUUGUAUGAAGACUCUCAGUUAGGGUGUAUCUAGAGGGCUCAAGGCUGAGGCUCCUCUUGUGUGUGUCUAUGAGGUGGAUGCUCAGUUCCUGUCUCUCUAGAGGCCUCAAGGCUGACGCUCAGCUCGUGUGAGACCAUGGGCAUCUAGGAAGACUCUCAGCUCUUAUCUACAUCUUGUCCUAUGGCUCUUUGGAUUCUUUUUAUCUCUUUUCUUUUUAUUAAAGGUUGCGAGGAAAAUUGACCUCUUAAAUUGGCUUUUUGAAAGUCAGUUGUGUUUGGAAUUCCUUUCUGCAAUACCUGUGACAGGACCUUUUUCUGAUAGCAGCUGUCAUUAUCUGCCCCACAGGCCUUUUGAAUUGGAGGUGCCAGUAAGUGCCGAUACACAAGUUGUAGUUUCAGAAAAUGGCCACAAGGCGGCAGCACCUCUUCAUGCCCAACUCUGGUUCCACCUGCAACCAGAGCCUUAGGGAAAGCAGGUUUCCUGGGUUGUGAAUUAGGGUGGAAUGUGCCUGAGCAAACACCCAAGGGCUUUUAUCUCAGGACUCCUUCCCCGGUGAAGCUUUAC